rnacentral:rRNA from 1 species
ACGGGAGGCAGCAGUGGGGGAUAUUGCACAAUGGAGGAAACUCUGAUGCAGCGACGCCGCGUGUAGGAAGACGGUCUUCGGAUUGUAAACUACUGUCUUCGGGGACGAAAAAUGACGGUACCCGAGGAGGAAGCCACGGCUAACUACGUGCCAGCAGCCGCGGUAAUACGUAGGUGGCGAGCGUUGUCCGGAAUUACUGGGUGUAAAGGGAGCGUAGGUGGGGAUGCAAGUUGAAUGUGAAAACUAUCGGCUCAACUGAUAGUUGCGUUCAAAACUGCAACUCUUGAGUGAAGUAGAGGUAGGCGGAAUUCCUAGUGUAGCGGUGAAAUGCGUAGAUAUUAGGAGGAACACCAGUGGCGAAGGCGGCCUACUGGGCUUUAACUGACACUGAGGCUCGAAAGCGUGGGUAGCAAACAGGAUUAGAUACCCUGGUA